rnacentral:rRNA from 1 species
CUCAGGAUGAACGCUGGCGGCGUGCCUAAUACAUGCAAGUCGAACGCUUUGUGGUUCAACUGAUUUGAAGAGCUUGCUCAGAUAUGACGAUGGACAUUGCAAAGAGUGGCGAACGGGUGAGUAACACGUGGGAAACCUACCUCUUAGCAGGGGAUAACAUUUGGAAACAGAUGCUAAUACCGUAUAACAAUGACAACCGCAUGGUUGUUAUUUAAAAGAUGGUUCUGCUAUCACUAAGAGAUGGUCCCGCGGUGCAUUAGCUAGUUGGUAAGGUAAUGGCUUACCAAGGCGAUGAUGCAUAGCCGAGUUGAGAGACUGAUCGGCCACAAUGGGACUGAGACACGGCCCAUACUCCUACGGGAGGCAGCAGUAGGGAAUCUUCCACAAUGGGCGAAAGCCUGAUGGAGCAACGCCGCGUGUGUGAUGAAGGGUUUCGGCUCGUAAAACACUGUUGUAAGAGAAGAAUGACAUUGAGAGUAACUGUUCAAUGUGUGACGGUAUCUUACCAGAAAGGAACGGCUAAAUACGUGCCAGCAGCCGCGGUAAUACGUAUGUUCCAAGCGUUAUCCGGAUUUAUUGGGCGUAAAGCGAGCGCAGACGGUUAUUUAAGUCUGAAGUGAAAGCCCUCAGCUCAACUGAGGAAUUGCUUUGGAAACUGGAUGACUUGAGUGCAGUAGAGGAAAGUGGAACUCCAUGUGUAGCGGUGAAAUGCGUAGAUAUAUGGAAGAACACCAGUGGCGAAGGCGGCUUUCUGGACUGUAACUGACGUGNG